UACGAAGGGGGCUAGCGUUGCUCGGAAUCACUGGGCGUAAAGCGCACGUAGGCGGGUUCUUAAGUCAGGGGUGAAAUCCUGGAGCUCAACUCCAGAACUGCCUUCGAUACUGAGAGUCUCGAGUCCGAGAGAGGUGAGUGGAACUGCGAGUGUAGAGGUGAAAUUCGUAGAUAUUCGCAAGAACACCAGUGGCGAAGGCGGCUCACUGGCUCGGUACUGACGCUGAGGUGCGAAAGCGUGGGGAGCAAACAGG
rnacentral:rRNA from 1 species